rnacentral:rRNA from 1 species
GAAGCCUGAAGCCAGCGACGCCCGCCGUGAGUGAAUGAAGGCCUUCGGGGUCGUUAAAGCCCUGUUCAGAUGGGAAGAAAGGCCCUGGGGCUAAUAUCUGUACAGUUUGACGGUACCAUCACAAGGAAGCACCGGCUAACUCCGUGCCAGCAGCCGCGGUAAUA